rnacentral:rRNA from 1 species
GCUCAGGAUGAACGCUAGCUACAGGCUUAACACAUGCAAGUCGAGGGGCAGCAUGGUCUUAGCUUGCUAAGGCCGAUGGCGACCGGCGCACGGGUGAGUAACACGUAUCCAACCUGCCGUCUACUCUUGGACAGCCUUCUGAAAGGAAGAUUAAUACAAGAUGGCAUCAUGAGUCCGCAUGUUCACAUGAUUAAAGGUAUUCCGGUAGACGAUGGGGAUGCGUUCCAUUAGAUAGUAGGCGGGGUAACGGCCCACCUAGUCUUCGAUGGAUAGGGGUUCUGAGAGGAAGGUCCCCCACAUUGGAACUGAGACACGGUCCAAACUCCUACGGGAGGCAGCAGUGAGGAAUAUUGGUCAAUGGGCGAGAGCCUGAACCAGCCAAGUAGCGUGAAGGAUGAGUGCCCUAUGGGUUGUAAACUUCUUUUAUAAAGGAAUAAAGUCGGGUAUGGAUACCCGUUUGCAUGUACUUUAUGAAUAAGGAUCGGCUAACUCCGUGCCAGCAGCCGCGGUAAUACGGAGGAUCCGAGCGUUAUCCGGAUUUAUUGGGUUUAAAGGGAGCGUAGAUGGAUGUUUAAGUCAGUUGUGAAAGUUUGCGGCUCAACCGUAAAAUUGCAGUUGAUACUGGAUAUCUUGAGUGCAGUUGAGGCAGGCGGAAUUCGUGGUGUAGCGGUGAAAUGCUUAGAUAUCACGAAGAACUCCGAUUGCGAAGGCAGCCUGCUAAGCUGCAACUGACAUUGAGGCUCGAAAGUGUGGGUAUCAAACAGGAUUAGAUACCCUGGUAGUCCACACGGUAAACGAUGAAUACUCGCUGUUUGCGAUAUACUGCAAGCGGCCAAGCGAAAGCGUUAAGUAUUCCACCUGGGGAGUACGCCGGCAACGGUGAAACUCAAAGGAAUUGACGGGGGCCCGCACAAGCGGAGGAACAUGUGGUUUAAUUCGAUGAUACGCGAGGAACCUUACCCGGGCUUAAAUUGCAGAUGAAUUACGGUGAAAGCCGUAAGCCGCAAGGCAUCUGUGAAGGUGCUGCAUGGUUGUCGUCAGCUCGUGCCGUGAGGUGUCGGCUUAAGUGCCAUAACGAGCGCAACCCUUGUUGUCAGUUACUAACAGGUUCCGCUGAGGACUCUGACAAGACUGCCAUCGUAAGAUGUGAGGAAGGUGGGGAUGACGUCAAAUCAGCACGGCCCUUACGUCCGGGGCUACACACGUGUUACAAUGGGGGGUACAGAGGGCCGCUACCACGCGAGUGGAUGCCAAUCCCCAAAACCUCUCUCAGUUCGGACUGGAGUCUGCAACCCGACUCCACGAAGCUGGAUUCGCUAGUAAUCGCGCAUCAGCCACGGCGCGGUGAAUACGUUCCCGGGCCUUGUACACACCGCCCGUCAAGCCAUGGGAGCCGGGGGUACCUGAAGUGCGUAACCGCGAGGAGCGCCCUAGGGUAAA